UGCGCUGUACGGAGCGGGACACGCGUACUCGGGGGUCCCUGUGAGCCCGGCGACUAGUCGAGGGCGGCGGUCCCGGGGAGGCCCUGGAGAUGUCCAGCCCAGGAAGAAGCCGGGAGGGGCGGGUCCUUCUCCUCCGCCGCCUGCUUCUUUUCCUCCCUUUUCCUCUGCUUCCUCCUCCCUCUUUUUUCUCCUCCUCUCCUUCCGCUCGUCGUGCCUGGCCUCCUCCUCUCCCCACCUUCCUCCUCCCACUCCCGCUUCCCUGUUCACACUUUGCUCUUUCUGGGAUGGAAGUUCUGUCCCGGAGGAACCAGGCACCGGUCUCCCGACGCCACCCUCCUUAGCAGGUCUACCUCCAAAGGCAGAAGGAGGAAAGUCACCAUGUGUCACAGUCCUUGCUUCACUAUCUUUGGAGCAUCCACAGCAGCCCCAGCAUCUCUCACUGAACCUGGAACUUAGCAAUUAGCCUGACUGGCAGGCUAGUGAACCCUGGGUAUCCACCUACCUCUGCCUUCCUAGUGCUGGGAUUGCAAGUGGCCACCACCAUGCCCAGCUGUUUAGGGGAAAUGAACUCUAGUCCUCAGGAUUGCCAGGUAAGUAUUUUACCACCUGACUCACCCACUAGCCUCUGUUUGACAAUGAUUAGUUGAAUUGUUCAAAUAUCUAGUAGAGAAGAUUUGAAUGUCCCAAACAAAAAACAUGACAUGUAUCUGAAGUGAUGAUGGACAUGUCGGUUACCUUGGCCUGAUCAUGACACAUUAUACACAUGCAUUGGAAUGUCUGUUACAAAGCCCCUGUGUCAUCCCUUCAUAAGUAUGUUUCACCAGACAUUUGAAACUAAAUGGUCAACCUCAGCUUAGGAUAACAUUGCUUAUUAUAUACAAUAAUUCCUUUUAAUGUUUUCUUGGUCUCAGAAGUGCUCAAUAAAUAUUUGUUGAUAAAAUAGGUUGCAGGUUGAUAAAAUAGAGGCAUCAAUAGAACUAGAAAUUCAGCGCCAUCCCCUGCCACAUAGUGAGUUUGAAGCCAAUCUGAACUCCAAAUAGCUCAGUAAGGGCUAUCUCAUGAGAAAAUAAUAAAGUAUGCCACCAUACCCUUUGGCCCCUUUUGAUAUAGUUUGCUGGAUGCUUUGUUGUGGAGACAGGAUCACAUUAUGCAGCUCUGGCUGGCCUGGAACUCACAGAAGACUACUUGCCUUUGCCUCACAACACUUUGAUGCCAAGUUCUGGUAUUAAAGGCAUGUGCCACCAUGCAAGGCAUGGAGUACAUCAUGAGAGAGCCCCACCACCAAUGAAAGAGCCUCAUUGAAUGUUUAUACAUUUAACCUGCCUGGACACACAGAGAGUGUGAUUCCUGGAAAGACUCCAAGUAUUCACUCCAAAUGUUUUUUUUUUUAAUUUCUGAUUAAUACAACUGAGGACUAAAGCUACCACCUUUUACAAGAAAGAUACAUUAGUUCAAUAAACUAGGCAUGGCAAUUCAUGCCUACCAUCCCUUGAUCUGGGAAACCAAGGCAAGAGGAUUGCUACAAAUUUGGGGCCAGCCUGGGAAAUAUAGUGAGUGCCAAAUCAGCUUGGGCUACAUAUUAGGAAACUGUCUCAAACAAACAAACAAACAAAGCAACCAGAUUGAAGCAAUAAGAGCAGAAAGCAUCCAAGAUUAUUAAAACCUCUCCCAAUGCUAGCAGUUAGCAUGGCGAAAGUCGCUACUCUUGCGUCCCGUGUCUGAGAGAGUCUAUAAACAGAAGUAUAUGGCAUGGCUCCUGCUCACCGUCCCUUUUGAAAAGGUGGUUGGGUGUCCCUGGAGGCACUGUCUGAACGGCUGGAGGUUUGCCCACAUACACAGGCUUAAGAACCUAGAUAGUGGGCAAGCCUCAUGGGCCCCUGGGCUCUGCCUUCUGAGGAUUUCUGCUAGCAGGUGAGUGAUACCUCAUAGAAAGACCUGGACUUUACUGACUUAGAUGGGAACAAACAGGAAUUCCUGUCUGAACUUGUACUGCAGAAGGUAAUUGGCAUUCCUCCCCCCCCUUAAUGUGUG